rnacentral:rRNA from 1 species
CAACUUUCAACAACGGAUCUCUUGGCUCUCGCAUCGAUGAAGAACGCAGCGAAAUGCGAUAAGUAGUGUGAAUUGCAGAAUUCAGUGAAUCAUCGAAUCUUUGAACGCACCUUGCGCUUUUUGAGACAUCUGUCUCGAAAAGCAUGUCUGUUUGAGUGUUGUU